UGGAAAUGAGCAUCCUUACGAUCCUUCCUGG
rnacentral:piRNA from 1 species